ACUGUCCCGCAACGAGCGCAACCCCUAUCCUUAGUUGCCAGCAUUAAGUUGGGGACUCUAGGGAGACUGCCAGUCAAAAACUGGAGGAAGGUGGGGAUGACGUCAAGUCAUCAUGCCCCUUAUGCUCUGGGCUACACACGUGCUACAAUGGCCUGUACAGAGGGC
rnacentral:rRNA from 1 species